UUUGGCGAUGAUAGCUUGUAGGAACCACCUGAUCCCUUUCCGAACUCAGAAGUGAAACUACAACACGCCGAUGAUAGUCUGGCUCUUGCCCAGGUGAAAGUAGGUAGUCGCCAUCUUUUUUA
rnacentral:rRNA from 1 species